ACGCCAGUUCAAUGUGUCUGCUCAACUAGCAAAUGUUCUGCAGAGCAUAUUUUAAAAUGAGCUGGUAAAGUAAAGCCACAGUACGAGCCUUGAAGACUUUGUUGUCUUUGAGGUCCCAAGAGAUGGCUACAUCU
ensembl:snoRNA